UCACCUUAUACAACAUCUAAUUGUAAAAGAAAAUGAGUCAAAAAAGAGUGAAGAAACUACCAAAACUCUUUCUUAAUAAGAUCCUUUAUAUGUUCACCAUAUCUUUGAUCUUUCAUGUUUCUAUUGUUUUCCUGUGUUAUGAAGUUUCUAUAAGUUUCCAGCGUUAUCUUGUUGCUCAAAAUGACUAUACUAUAGUAUUUAUUAAUUGUAAUUGUAGAACUCAUUUAUUGUGACCAAUUCCAAUCAGUGGUACAAAUCUAUGUAGUAUCUACUGUAUACAUAUUAUUGCCUUUCAAAUGAAAUAAUUGACUUCUACACAUAAAUAAAUAGGCGCCCAAAGCGGCUACGCCACUUUGACUUUGUGCAUGUGACAUGAUAGUGGUGAAUGAUGCUAAUCCUCACAACAUUAAAUAUGCUAAGAGAAGAGGAUAGGGAUCAGGGCCUCUUAUCCUAUUUGAGUGAUUAAUCAGUUUUUGUUAAGGAAUGUGAAUCAAGCAAUAAUGACUCUAAAUCAAAAGUAUAAUGUAAGAGGAACACUCAGCGAGAUGUUAAGCAAUAUUGGAAGUAUUUUCACUGAUCUUGUUUACCAUGGCCGUGUGAAACAUGCUUCUAUGUAAUUACACUACAAAAGAAAGAA